GAUGAAGAACGCAGUGAAAUGCGAUAAGUAAUGUGAAUUGCAGAAUUCAGUGAAUCAUCGAAUCUUUGAACGCACAUUGCGCCCAUCAGUAUUCUGUUGGGCAUGCCUGUCCGAGCGUCAUUUCAACCCUCAGGGCCCGUUCGCGGGAACUGGUGUUGGGGAUCGGCCUCCCCCCGGAGGCCGGCCCCGAAAUGCAGUGGCGGCUCUACCGCGAUCUCCUCUGUGUAGUAGCGAUACCUCGCAGCUGGAUAGUGGUGGUGCCACGCCGUAAAAUCCCAACUUUACCAAGGUUGACCUCGGAUCAGGUAGGAAUACCCGCUGAACUUAAGCAUAUCAAUAAGCGGAGGA
rnacentral:misc_RNA from 1 species